rnacentral:rRNA from 1 species
GAUUCUUGAAUUCGAAAGGGGUUGAUAGGAUUCAAGUCCGCCCAGCUUCGGGCGGCCAUCCACCAGAUCUUGUCGGGCGCCCGCGGCGAUGUGUUACCUGCGGUGUCGUUUGCGGCGAGACUCGGUGGUUCGGUUUGAUUUCCGGAGUCAGGUUGGGCGAUUGUAUUUCCCCCCCUAGUAGAUGGUUGCGACCCGUUGGGAAUCAGUCGAAGGCCCGGGAUGGCAGACCAUUACUCAUGAUGUGGAAAAAAAAGAGUGUGGACACCUGGUGACCUGGCUGUGGCUCGACGGAAGCUAAGAGGAGACGAUGCGCUGACAUGACAGCGUUCCGGCUCUGGCGUAUGGCUGGUGCAAGGUAAAUAAAACCGGGGGCAGCGGUGCUUGCACUUCUCCGACCGUGUACUGGCUCGUCAUGAUGUCUCGGACUCGAUCAGCUCUCCCGUCCGCGGCAUUCAGUCAGAUUCUCUCCCG